GGCGCUGAACCGCGGCAUAUAAGUUAAAAAAAAUUUCAAAAAUGCCAUUUCAUAUUAUUUUUUUAAAAUGAAUAGGCCGCGGUUCUAUGGAUAACCGCGGCCUAUUCCCCUUUUAUGCCGCAGUUCUACACUUAACCGCGGCAGAUUCUCUUAUGAUGGUUAAAAAAAAAACUUUGAACAGUUUUCCUCCUCACGCGAACAGUUUCAGAAAACGAAAGCAUCCUCUCCGCGCCAUCUCCGUCGUGCCGCCUCUCUGUUGNGAGCUUUCCUCCAUUGACGCCAACCAUCCUCUCACGCGAGCUUUCCUCCAUUACGCCAGCUAUACUCUCUGACGCUAGCCAUCUUCUCGCGCACCUGUGCUUCUCCGCCGCACCUCCUCGCGACUCUUCUUCUCUGCNN
rnacentral:lncRNA from 1 species